AAAGCAAGUAUUGAUCUCUUAAAUCUCAUUAUAGUAAUUAACGACUACUUCUAAUGA
rnacentral:tRNA from 1 species